AACGAACGCUGGCGGCAGGCUUAACACAUGCAAGUCGAACGCCCCGCAAGGGUAGUGGCAGACGGGUGAGUAACGCGUGGGAACGUGCCCUUCGCUUCGGAAUAGCCCCGGGAAACUGGGAGUAAUACCGAAUACGCCGUAUUGGGAAAGAUUUAUCGGCGAAGGAUCGGCCCGCGUUAGAUUAGCUAGUUGGCGGUGUAAUGGACCACCAAGGCUACGAUCUAUAGCUGGUCGGAGAGGAUGAUCAGCCACACUGGGACUGAGACACGGCCCAGACUCCUACGGGAGGGGGCAGUGGGGAAUCUUGGACAAUGGGCGCAAGCCUGAUCCAGCCAUGCCGCGUGAGUGAAGAAGGCCUUAGGGUUGUAAAACUCUUUCGCCGGAGAAGAUAAUGACGGUAUCCGGAGAAGAAGCCCCGGCUAACUUCGUGCCAGCAGCCGCCGUAAAAC
rnacentral:rRNA from 1 species